rnacentral:tRNA from 1 species
CAAAUUAAAGUUUAUUAAAAUAUUUCAUUUACAUUGAAAAGAAAUUGAUUAUUUCAUUUAAUUUGA